ACGUACACUCCUACGGGAGGCAGCAGUGGGGAAUUUUGGACAAUGGGCGAAAGCCUGAUCCAGCCAUGCCGCGUGCAGGAUGAAGGCCUUCGGGUUGUAAACUGCUUUUGUACGGAACGAAACGGCCUUUUCUAAUAAAGAGGGCUAAUGACGGUACCGUAAGAAUAAGCACCGGCUAACUACGUGCCAGCAGCCGCGGUAAUACGUAGGGUGCAAGCGUUAAUCGGAAUUACUGGGCGUAAAGCGUGCGCAGGCGGUUAUGUAAGACAGUUGUGAAAUCCCCGGGCUCAACCUGGGAACUGCAUCUGUGACUGCAUAGCUAGAGUACGGUAGAGGGGGAUGGAAUUCCGCGUGUAGCAGUGAAAUGCGUAGAUAUGCGGAGGAACACCGAUGGCGAAGGCAAUCCCCUGGACCUGUACUGACGCUCAUGCACGAAAGCGUGGGGAGCAAACAGGAUUAGAUACCCGGGUAGUCCCAUG
rnacentral:rRNA from 1 species